GCGGAGGAAAAGAAACCAACAGGGAUUGCCCCAGUAACGGCGAGUGAAGCGGCAACAGCUCAAAUUUGAAAUCUGGCCCUCGGGUCCGAGUUGUAAUUUGUAGAGGAUGCUUUUGGCGCGGUGCCUUCCGAGUUCCCUGGAACGGGACGCCUUAGAGGGUGAGAGCCCCGUACGGUUGGACACCAAGCCUCUGUAAAGCUCCUUCGACGAGUCGAGUAGUUUGGGAAUGCUGCUCUAAAUGGGAGGUAAAUUUCUUCUAAAGCUAAAUAUUGGCCAGAGACCGAUAGCGCACAAGUAGAGUGAUCGAAAGAUGAAAAGCACUUUGAAAAGAGGGUUAAAUAGCACGUGAAAUUGUUGAAAGGGAAGCGUUUGCGACCAGACCUCUCCCCGGCGGAUCAUCCGGCGUUCUCGCCGGUGCACUCCGCCGGGCUGAGGCCAGCAUCGGUUCCCGCGGGGGGACAAAAGCGGGGGGAACGUAGCUCCCUCGGGAGUGUUAUAGCCCUCCGCAUAAUACCCUCGCGGGGACCGAGGACCGCGCUUCGGCAAGGAUGCUGGCGUAAUGGUCGUCAACGACCCGUCUUGAAACACGGACCAAGGAGUCGAACAUUUGUGCGAGUGUUUGGGUGUCAAACCCUCACGCGUAAUGAAGGUGAACGUAGGUGAGAGCCCUCGCGGGCGCAUCAUCGACCGAUCCUGAUGUCUUCGGAUGGAUUUGAGUAAGAGCAUAACUGUUCGGACCCGAAAGAUGGUGAACUAUGCGUGGAUAGGGUGAAGCCAGAGGAAACUCUGGUGGAGGCUCGCAGCGGUUCUGACGUGCAAAUCGAUCGUCAAAUCUGCGCAUGGGGGCGAAAGACUUAUCGAACCAUCUAGUAGC
rnacentral:rRNA from 1 species